GGUGGCUCAGUGGGAGAGUGCUUGCCUUGCAUGCAUGAGGCCCUGGGUUCGAUUCCUUAGCACCA
rnacentral:tRNA from 1 species